UACGUAGGUGGCAAGCGUUGUCCGGAAUUACUGGGCGUAAAGAGCGCGCAGGCGGCUGGUCAAGUCCGAUGUGAAAGCUUCCGGCUUAACUGGGAAAUUGCAUCGGAAACUGAUCGGCUUGAAGGUGGGAGAGGGUAGUGGAAUUCCCGGUGUAGUGGUGAAAUGCGUAGAUAUCGGGAGGAACACCAGUGGCGAAGGCGACUACCUGGCCCACUCUUGACGCUGAGGCGCGAAAGCUAGGGUAGCAAACGGG
rnacentral:rRNA from 1 species